CAACCUCAACUCAUAUGGGACUACCCCCUGAAUUUAAGCAUAUUAAUUAGGGGAGGAAAAGAAACUAACAAGGAUUUUCUUAGUAGCGGCGAGCGAAAAGAAAUCAGUUCAGCACUAAGUCACUUUGUCUAUAUGGCAAAUGUGAGAUGCAGUGUACGGAACAUCAACAUUCUAGUAUGAGAAGUUAACGAUUUAAGUCCUUCUUAAAUGAGGCCAUUUACCCAUAGAGGGUGCCAGGCCCGUAUAACGUUAAUGAUUACUAGAUGGUGUUUCCAAAGAGUCGUGUUGCUUGAUAGUGCAGCACUAAGUGGGUGGUAAACUCCAUCUAAAACUAAAUAUAACCAUGAGACCGAUAGUAAACAAGUACCGUGAGGGAAAGUUGAAAAGAACUCUGAAUAGAGAGUUAAAUAGUACGUGAAACUGCUUAGAGGUUAAGCCCGAUGAACCUGAAUAUCCGUUAUGGAAAAUUCAUCAUUUGAAUUGUAAUAUUUUAAACAAUAUUAUAAUAAUAGUGUGCAUUUUUUCCAUAUAAGGACAUUGUAAUCUAUUAGCAUAAAUAUUUAUCAUAAAAUUAUGUCUGAUUGUUUAUUUGAAUUAUAUGCUUGGCAUUUUAACAUAAAAUAAAAGAUAUAAAUUUGAUAAAGUGAUGAUAGAUUUAUAUGAUUACAGUGCGUUAAUUUUUCGGAAUUAUAUAAUGGCAUAAUUAUCAUUGAUAUUUGUGUUUAUUAUAUGCAUUUGUAUGAUUAACAAUGCGAAAGAUUCAGGAUACCUUCGGGACCCGUCUGAAACACGGACCAAGGAGUCUACCAUA
rnacentral:ncRNA from 1 species